GACGAACGCUGGCGGCGUGCUUAACACAUGCAAGUCGAACGGAAAGGCCCUGCUUUUGUGGGGUGCUCGUGUGGCGAACGGGUGAGUAACACGUGAGUAACCUGCCCUUGACUUUGGGAUAACUUCAGGAAGCUGGGGCUAAUACCGGAUAGGAGCUCCUGCUGCAUGGUGGGGGUUGGAAAGUUUCGGCGGUUGGGGAUGGACUCGCGGCUUAUCAGCUUGUUGGUGGGGUAGUGGCUUACCAAGGCUUUGACGGGUAGCCGGCCUGAGAGGGUGACCGGCCACAUUGGGACUGAGAUACGGCCCAGACUCCUACGGGAGGCAGCAGUGGGGAAUAUUGCACAAUGGGCGGAAGCCUGAUGCAGCAACGCCGCGUGCGGGAUGACGGCCUUCGGGUUGUAAACCGCUUUCGCCUGUGACGAAGCGUGAGUGACGGUAAUGGGUAAAGAAGCACCGGCUAACUACGUG
rnacentral:rRNA from 1 species